rnacentral:rRNA from 1 species
CCUACGGGUGGCAGCAGUAGGGAAUAUUGCUCAAUGGGGGAAACCCUGAAGCAGCAACGCCGCGUGGAGGAUGAAGGUUUUCGGAUUGUAUACUCCUUUUGUUAGAGAAGAUAAUGACGGUAUCUAACGAAUAAGCACCGGCUAACUCCGUGCCAGCAUCCGCGGGAAUACGGCGGGUGCAAGCGUUACUCGGAAUCACUGGGCGUAAAGGGGGCGUAGGCGGGAUAGCAAGUCAGAUGUGAAAUCCUAUGGCUUAACCAUAGAACUGCAUUUGAAACUGGGAUUCUAGAGUAUGGGAGAGGUAGGUGGAAUGCGUGGUGUAGGGGUAAAAUCCGUAGAGAUCAAGAGGAAUACUCAUUGCGAAGGCGACCUACUAGAACAUAACUGACGCUGAUGCGCGAAAGCGUGGGGAGCAAACAGGAUUAGAUACCCCAGUAGUC